AAAAAGGCAAAUCCUAACUUUCCGUGUCCAACUUUAACUAUCCGUCUUAUAUGAAAUUGUUUUAUAAUUCGUAUUUUCAUUGUUGUUAGAUGAUAAAACAUGAUUAAUAUUUUAUGUGUGACUUGUCUUUUUAAUUUUUUUUAUAUUUUUUUUAAAUAAGACGGACGGUCAAAUAUUGGAUACGGAAACCAGGGUUUGUCUUUUU
rfam:Oryza nivara chromosome 9, whole genome shotgun sequence.